GACGAACCGUGCGAACGUUGUUCGGAAUCACUGGGCUUAAAGGGCGCGUAGGCGGGCCACCAAGUCUGGGGUGAAAGCCCCCGGCUCAACCGGGGAAUUGCCUGGGAUACUGGUGGUCUGGAGGGAGGUAGGGGCAGCGGGAACUUCCGGUGGAGCGGUGAAAUGCGUUGAUAUCGGAAGGAACGCCGGUGGCGAAAGCGCGCUGCUGGACCUCUUCUGACGCUGAGGCGCGAAAGCCAGGGGAGCGAACGGG
rnacentral:rRNA from 1 species